ACGCUGGCGGCAGGCCUAACACAUGCAAGUCGAGCGGAAACGACACUAACAAUCCUUCGGGUGCGUUAAUGGGCGUCGAGCGGCGGACGGGUGAGUAAUGCCUAGGAAAUUGCCUUGAUGUGGGGGAUAACCAUUGGAAACGAUGGCUAAUACCGCAUGAUGCCUACCGGCCAAAGAGGGGGACCUUCGGGCCUCUCGCGUCAAGAUAUGCCUAGGUGGGAUUAGCUAGUUGGUGAGGUAAUGGCUCACCAAGGCGACGAUCCCUAGCUGGUCUGAGAGGAUGAUCAGCCACACUGGAACUGAGACACGGUCCAGACUCCUACGGGAGGCAGCAGUGGGGAAUAUUGCACAAUGGGCGAAAGCCUGAUGCAGCCAUGCCGCGUGUAUGAAGAAGGCCUUCGGGUUGUAAAGUACUUUCAGUUGUGAGGAAGGGUGUGUAGUUAAUAGCUGCGCAUCUUGACGUUAGCAACAGAAGAAGCACCGGCUAACUCCGUGCCAGCAGCCGCGGUAAUACGGAGGGUGCGAGCGUUAAUCGGAAUUACUGGGCGUAAAGCGCAUGCAGGUGGUUCAUUAAGUCAGAUGUGAAAGCCCGGGGCUCAACCUCGGAACUGCAUUUGAAACUGGUGAACUAGAGURCUGUAGAGGGGGGUAGAAUUUCAGGUGUAGCGGUGAAAUGCGUAGAGAUCUGAAGGAAUACCAGUGGCGAAGGCGGCCCCCUGGACA
rnacentral:rRNA from 1 species